rnacentral:rRNA from 1 species
UACAGAGGUGGCAAGCGUUGUUCGGAAUUACUGGGCGUAAAGGGCGCGUAGGCGGUCUUUUAAGUCUUGUGUGAAAUCCCUCGGCUCAACUGAGGAACUGCACGGGAUACUGGAAGACUUGAGUUCGGGAGAGGGAAGCGGAAUUCCGGGGGUAGCGGUGAAAUGCGUAGAUAUCCGGAGGAACACCGGUGGCGAAGGCGGCUUCCUGGACCGACACUGACGCUGAGGCGCGAAAGCUAGGGGAGCAAACGGG